GACGAACGCUGGCGGCGUGCCUAAUACAUGCAAGUCGAACGCUUCUUUUCCCACCGGAGCUUGCUCCACCGGGAAAAGAGGAGUGGCGAACGGGUGAGUAACACGUGGGUAACCUGCCCAUCAGAAGGGGAUAACACUUGGAAACAGGUGCUAAUACCGUAUAACAAUAGAAACAGCAUGGUUUCAAUUUGAAAGGCGCUUUACGGUGCCGCUGAUGGAUGGACCCGCGGUGCAUUAGCUAGUUGGUGAGGUAACGGCUCACCAAGGCCACGAUGCAUAGCCGACCUGAGAGGGUGAUCGGCCACAUUGGGACUGAGACACGGCCCAAACUCCUACGGGAGGCAGCAGUAGGGAAUCUUCGGCAAUGGACGAAAGUCUGACCGAGCAACGCCGCGUGAGUGAAGAAGGUUUUCGGAUCGUAAAACUCUGUUGUUAGAGAAGAACAAGGGUGAGAGUAACUGUUCACCCCUUGACGGUAUCUAACCAGAAAGCCACGGCUAACUACGUGCCAGCAGCCGCGGUAAUACGUAGGUGGCAAGCGUUGUCCGGAUUUAUUGGGCGUAAAGCGAGCGCAGGCGGUUUCUUAAGUCUGAUGUGAAAGCCCCCGGCUCAACCGGGGAGGGUCAUUGGAAACUGGGAGGCUUGAGUGCAGAAGAGGAGAGUGGAAUUCCAUGUGUAGCGGUGAAAUGCGUAGAUAUAUGGAGGAACACCAGUGGCGAAGGCGGCUCUCUGGUCUGUAACUGACGCUGAGGCUCGAAAGCGUGGGGAGCAAACAGGAUUAGAUACCCUGGUAGUCCACGCCGUAAACGAUGAGUGCUAAGUGUUGGAGGGUUUCCGCCCUUCAGUGCUGCAGCUAACGCAUUAAGCACUCCGCCUGGGGAGUACGACCGCAAGGUUGAAACUCAAAGGAAUUGACGGGGGCCCGCACAAGCGGUGGAGCAUGUGGUUUAAUUCGAAGCAACGCGAAGAACCUUACCAGGUCUUGACAUCCUUUGACCACUCUAGAGAUAGAGCUUCCCCUUCGGGGGCAAAGUGACAGGUGGUGCAUGGUUGUCGUCAGCUCGUGUCGUGAGAUGUUGGGUUAAGUCCCGCAACGAGCGCAACCCUUAUUGUUAGUUGCCAUCAUUUAGUUGGGCACUCUAGCAAGACUGCCGGUGACAAACCGGAGGAAGGUGGGGACGACGUCAAAUCAUCAUGCCCCUUAUGACCUGGGCUACACACGUGCUACAAUGGGAAGUACAACGAGUCGCGAAGUCGCGAGGCUAAGCUAAUCUCUUAAAGCUUCUCUCAGUUCGGAUUGUAGGCUGCAACUCGCCUACAUGAAGCCGGAAUCGCUAGUAAUCGCGGAUCAGCACGCCGCGGUGAAUACGUUCCCGGGCCUUGUACACACCGCCCGUCACACCACGAGAGUUUGUAACACCCGAAGUCGGUGAGGUAACCUUUUUGGAGCCAGCCGCCUAAGGUGGGAUAGAUGAUUGGGGUG
rnacentral:rRNA from 1 species